CUGUGUUCGGGAACUCAAAAAUUUGUGCAAAUUUUUUCUGGAAGUCGUUCGCGUACUUUAUUUGCCAGCAGAAGAGACCGCGAGAGAGAGUAAAUUUUGACAGUUAGAAAAUAGAGAACCUGCAAAUUUCUACAUGCAUUUUUUUGCGAGCAGAAAUUUGCAACUUUGAACAGAUGUUUUCUAAAAAUCAGCUGUUUUAUAAAAAGGAGCCUUUAUAUGAAAAUACAAAAGCUAACGCCAAAAUGGAUCAAAAAAGCAGAGAUUCAUGGCAGCAGCUAGUGUUCAGGUACAGCAAACUCGACAAAUGAAGUUGUAAUUUUACCUCAAGUCGGUUGUUCUACAUUAGAAGACUCCAAGAAAAGAGCAAUUAUAGGUUUCUUAAGUGUUUUGAUGGAAUCAUCCUCAUCGGAGAGCUACGAUGAAACCAACACCGUUCCUUCGAAUUCUUUAAGGAUGAAAGAUGCUGCCAUGGGAUUGAGUGCGUCUAGCUAGGCAGUUAAAAAAGUGACGCACAGUGGGAUUAAACAAAAUUAGUGCAAAUAAGUCUGCCAAUUGUGAAUGGAUACAGAAAUCUUCAAUGAUAACACAGUGUCCUUAGCCAUCACAUGACCAAAUAGAAAACUCCCUUAGCCUCACAUCAGUGGUCGUAGCAAUUAAUCUAGCCACAAUAUCCAAAAGCAUAAGAUGGUUAGUCCAAGGUAUCUUUGUCAGCACAAUAAGUGUACUUUUGUAUACGGCGAUGUCAUGUAAAGCAGUUGUAGUCACAUGCAGCAUUCGAAAUGCAUGCUGAUGAUCGGAAAAUUGUCCAACGAG